rnacentral:rRNA from 1 species
UACGUAGGGUGCAAGCGUUGUCCGGAAUUAUUGGGCGUAAAGAGCUCGUAGGCGGUCUGUCGCGUCUGCUGUGAAAUUUCGGGGCUCAACCCCGAACUUGCAGUGGGUACGGGCAGACUAGAGUGUGGUAGGGGAGACUGGAAUUCCUGGUGUAGCGGUGAAAUGCGUAGAUAUCUGGAGGAAUACCGGUGGCGAAGGCGGCGUUCUGGACCAUUACUGACACUGAAUCGCGAAAGCUAGGGGAGCAAACGGG